rfam:Medicago truncatula strain A17 unplaced genomic scaffold scaffold0019, whole genome shotgun sequence.
UGCCGAAGUUUUCCUCGGUAGUUAACUGCAGCCGGUUCUAUAAUUCGGCAGUUAACUGCCGAGGAGCAU